UACGGAGGGAGCUAGCGUUGUUCGGAAUUACUGGGCGUAAAGCGCACGUAGGCGGCUUUGUAAGUUAGAGGUGAAAGCCCGGGGCUCAACUCCGGAACUGCCUUUAAGACUGCAUCGCUUGAAUCCGGGAGAGGUGAGUGGAAUUCCGAGUGUGGAGGUGAAAUUCGUAGAUAUUCGGAAGAACACCAGUGGCGAAGGCGGCUCACUGGACCGGUAUUGACGCUGAGGUGCGAAAGCGUGGGGAGCAAACAGG
rnacentral:rRNA from 1 species